rnacentral:rRNA from 1 species
ACGGAAGGCAGCAGUGGGGAAUAUUGGGCAAUGGGCGCAAGCCUGACCCAGCAAAGCCGCGUGAAGGAAGAAGGCUUUCGGGUUGUAAACUUCUUUUAUCAGGGACGAAGAAAGUGACGGUACCUGAUGAAUAAGCCACGGCUAACUACGUGCCAGCAGCCGCGGUAAUACGUAGGUGGCGAGCGUUAUCCGGAUUUACUGGGUGUAAAGGGCGCGUAGGCGGGGAUGCAAGUCAGAUGUGAAAUCCAUGGGCUUAACUCAUGAACUGCAUUUGAAACUGUAUCUCUUGAGUGUCGGAGAGGUAGAUGGAAGUCCUAGUGGAGCGGUGAAAUGCGUAGAUAUUAGGAGGAACACCAGUGGCGAAGGCGAGCUACUGGACGAUAACUGACGCGGAGGCGCGAAAGCGUGGGGAGCAAACAGGAUUAGAUACCCUGGUA